rnacentral:lncRNA from 1 species
UAGCCCACCCGUUUUUUGGCCAUUUUUCCGCUGGGGGGUUUUGGCACCACGACCUUCGGGCGCUUAUCAUUUGACGCGGCUUUGUCCGCGGCUUAUUUUUGGCACCCCGAGGCCCCUCGCAAAGUCUCGCCCCAUUCCGAGUCCGGCGGACGAACUUCGCCCGCGCCCCCCACCAAGGCUAUAGCCCACCCGUUUUUUGGCCAUUUUUCCGCUGGGGGGUUUUGGCACCACGACCUUCGGGCGCUUAUUUUUGGGCGCGGCUUUGCCCGCGGCUUAUUUUUGGCACCCCGAGGCCCCUCGCAAAGUCUCGCCCCAUUCCGAGUCCGGCGGACGAACUUCGCCCGCGCCCCCCACCAAGGCUAUAGCCCACCCGUUUUUUGGCCAUUUUUCCGCUGGGGGGUUUUGGCACCACGACCUUCGGGCGCUUAUUUUUGGGCGCGGCUUUGCCCGCGGCUUAUUUUUGGCACCCCGAGGCCCCUCGCAAAGUCUCGCCCCAUUCCGAGUCCGGCGGACGAACUUCGCCCGCGCCCCCCACCAAGGCUAUAGCCCACCCGUUUUUUGGCCAUUUUUCCGCUGGGGGGUUUUGGCACCACGACCUUCGGGCGCUUAUUUUUGGGCGCGGCUUUGCCCGCGGCUUAUUUUUGGCACCCCGAGGCCCCUCGCAAAGUCUCGCCCCAUUCCGAGUCCGGCGGACGAACUUCGCCCGCGCCCCCCACCAAGGCUAUAGCCCACCCGUUUGGUGGCCAUUUUUCCGCUGGGGGGUUUUGGCACCACGACCUUCGGGCGCUUAGUUUUGGGCGCGGCUUUGCCCGCGGCUUAUUUUUGGCACCCCGAGGCCCCUCGCAAAGUCUCGCCCCAUUCCGAGUCCGGCGGACGAACUUCGCCCGCGCCCCCCACCAAGGCUAUAGCCCACCCGUUUUUUGGCCAUUUUUCCGCUGGGGGGUUUUGGCACCACGACCUUCGGGCACUUAUUUUUGGGCGCGGCUUUGCCCGCGGCUUAUAUUUGGCACCCCGAGGCCCCUCGCAAAGUCUCGCCCCAUUCCGAGUCCGGCGGACGAACUUCGCCCGCGCCCCCCACCAAGGCUAUAGCCCACCCGUUUUUUGGCCAUUUUUCCGCUGGGGGGAUUUGGCACCACGACCUUCGGGCGCUUAUUUUUGGGCGCGGCUUUGCCCGCGGCUUAUUUUUGGUACCCCGAGGCCCCUCGCAAAGUCUCGCCCCAUUCCGAGUCCGGCGGACAAACUUCGCCCGCGCCCCCCACCAAGGCUAUAGCCCACCCGUUUUUUGGCCAAUUUUCCGCUGGGGGGUUUUGGCACCACGACCUUCGGGGGCUUAUUUUUGGACGCGGCUGUGCCCGCAACUUUCCGCGGGCACCCCGAGGCCCCUCGCAAAGUCUCGCCCCAUUCCGAGUCCGGCGGACGAACUUCGCCCGCGCCCCCCACCAAGGCUAUAGCCCACCCGUUUUUUGGCCAUUUUUCCGCUGGGGGGUUUUGGCACCACGACCUUCGGGCACUUAUUUUUGGACGCGGCUGUGCCCGCGACUUCCCGCGGGCACCCCGAGGCCCCUCGCAAAGUCUGGCCCCAUUCCGAGUCCGGCGGACGAACUUCGCCCGCGCCCCCCACCAAGGCUAUAGCCCACCCGUUUUUUGGCCAUUUUUCCGCUGGGGGGUUUUGGCACCACGACCUUCGGGCGCUUAUUUUUGGACGCGGCUGUGCCCGCGACUUCCCGCGGGCACCCCGAGGCCCCUCGCAAAGUCUCGCCCCAUUCCGAGUCCGGCGGACGAACUUCGCCCGCGCCCCCCACCAAGGCUAUAGCCCACCCGUUUUUUGGCCAUUUUUCCGCUGGGGGGUUUUGGCACCACGACCUUCGGGCGCUUAUUCUUGGGCGCGGCUUUGCCCGCGGCUUAUUUUUGGCACCCCGAGGCCUCUCGCAAAGUCUCGCCCCAUUCCGAGUCCGGCGGACGAACUUCGCCCGCGCCCCCCACCAAGGCUAUAGCCCACCCGUUUUUUGGCCAUUUUUCCGCUGGGGGGUUUUGGCACCACGACCUUCGGGCGCUUAUUUUUGGGCACGGCUUUGCCCGCGGCUUAUUUUUGGUACCCCGAGGCCCCUCGCAAAGUCUCGCCCCAUUCCGAGUCCGGCGGACGAACUUCGCCCGCGCCCCCCACCAAGGCUAUAGCCCACCCGUUUUUUGGCCAUUUUUCCGCUGGGGGGUUUUGGCACCACGACCUUCGGGGGCUUAUUUUUGGACGCGGCUGUGCCCGCAACUUUCCGCGGGCAACCCGAGGCCCCUCGCAAAGUCUCGCCCCAUUCCGAGUCCGGCGGAAGAACUUCGCCCGCGCCCCCCACCAAGGCUAUAGCCCACCCGUUUUUUGGCCAUUUUUCCGCUGGGGGGUUUUGGCACCACGACC